rnacentral:rRNA from 1 species
CGGUCCAGACUCCUACGGGAGGCAGCAGUAGGGAAUCUUCCGCAAUGGACGAAAGUCUGACGGAGCAACGCCGCGUGAGUGAUGAAGGUUUUCGGAUCGUAAAGCUCUGUUGUUAGGGAAGAACAAGUGCGAGAGUAACUGCUCGCACCUGACCGGUACCUAACCAGAAAGCCACGGCUAACUACGUGCCAGCAGCCGCGGUAA